CAGCUGUAGGAGAGGUUCUGUCCCACUCACACCAGCUGUAGGAGAUGUUCUGUCCUACCCACACCAGCUGUAGGAGAGAUCUGUCCUACUCACACCAGCUGUAGGAGAGGUUCUGUCCCACUCACACCAGCUGUAGGAGAUGUUCUGUCCCACUCACACCAGCUGUAGGAGAGGUUCUGUCCUACCCACACCAGCUGUAGGAGAGGUUCUGUCCUACUCACACCAGCUGUAGAAGAGGUUCUGUCCUACUCACACCAGCUGUAGGAGAGGUUCUGUCCUACUCAUACCAGCUGUAGGAGAGGUUCUGUCC